UGCAUGAUAUAUGUUUAAGUUAUGUUUUAACUACAAGGUUAAGAUGGCAGCAGUUACAGUAAUACUCACAAUAGCGCAUAUGGCCAUACGAUGUUGCAGUCGAGCUACGUAGCUUGUCGCUAAAUCUAUCUUGUUAACUUGUAUGCUAACUCUGGUGUUUAGCUGUGUGUUUAUGGCUACUGAUUAACAAAAGUGUCUUUCAAGAGACCGGGCAGUUAUAAGACCAUUACUUUGUGUUUAGGGCUCUCUGAGGUGGUUGAAUUGGUUUAGAGAAAUAACAUUACUCAUGCUUCAGAGAAAAAAUGUUGCACCGGGUAAUGAUUAGCUGGUAGCUUUGUCUACAGUGAAGUGAGGAAUAUUGUUUGUUACUCAGGAUAUCUACAGUGAUCGGCACGAGGCACUCAAUAUUGUGAUUUAGUUGUAUUCAUCAGAAAUAGAACUAUCAGGGCUUAUGUUGUUGUUAUUUUGAAUACAACAUGGUUACCUGGUGUCCUCUGUUAUCAUGGUUACAAGCCUGCUGGUGCAGGGCAGGCUCCUCUGUAGGGAGGGGCUUUGAAGGCAGGGCUGUAGGAAGAAGGAGGGAGCUGGAGCUGUGCUUAUCCAAAUUAUCUGGCUAAGUCCAAUUUUUCCUCAAAGCUGGUCAAGAUUGCAGCUUUAAUCUGUGUGGUUUUUAAGUUCAUGUUUUAUUAGUUUUUUUGUUUUCUUUUUUUGUUUAAGCAUGGUCUCACUUCUCCUGGUACAUUAUGACACUACAUUCAUACAUACAUUUAUCUCUCAAAAAGAGGAUGAGAAUAACUUUGUUUCGAUACUACUGUAUCUGUUAAAUGAAUAUUUCUUGUGCAAAAUAAUGUUUUCAGGCUUCCACAUUGCCCCACAUUGCUACUUGUUUGUGCUACUGCUGAUUGAAAAAAAUAAUAAUAAAUAAAAGGAAAAAAACAGUUGGCAAUUUGUUUAUUAUUGGUAAUCUGCUAUUAGUAUCAUGUGGGCCUACCUCCCCCAACUUAUUAAAAAAAACUAUAUUACCACUAAUAAGUGGUAAGAAAAGUUAUAGAUUUGUAAUUUUGCUAAUUUAUGUAUCCUUUUUGAAAAGAAAAGAAGAUGCAUAUAUUUCUCUUAUUUCUUUAAUCAUUACCCUAUUGAUUUAAUAAUGUAUUAGAAAUAAGUCAAAAAAAGUUUCCUAAAAAAUAUUGUAUUGCUUGAAUUGGCCUUACUUCAAAGGUUUUGUAAUUACAGUGUCAAAGAAGCUGAAUCUAGCAGCAUAAUGCUUUUGAAUCCGAGUCACUAAUUGAACACCGAUGGUAGCCACUCACUGUGUGGGGAACAUAGUAUAAAUGCGGCAGCCCUCCUCGGCUCUCUCUCUCUCUCUCUCUCUCUCUCUCUCUCUCUCUCUUUGCGCUCUCUCUUUGACACAUCACUUCCGGUCCAGAAGUUUUGGCUCUCGGCGGGUAGGAAGAUAUGCUGUCCAUCACUUCCACUUUGCCAGUUGUUGAUUCUUCAUUCUUAUGGCGCAUGUAUGUUGUAUUGCAGAACGGCUGAGCUGACAUGCCCUGCUUAGUGUGUGCUGGUCCCGUUGGAUUGCGGUGAGGCCAGUGCUGGUGACCUGGGUGGCUGUGUCACUUCCCUCCCUGUGUGCUGUGCUGGGGAUUUUGGUUACACACAAAGUGUGUGUGAGUGUCACGUGCCUGGGUGACUUGAAUAUAGUUUGGACCCCUCCCCUCACUAGUUUCCCCCCAUUAACGAGCCUCAGCCCUGAAUAGGCUCCCUUUUAAAUUUUGUGUGGAUGUUACAUUGUUUUGAUAAGAUUUAAUAAUAAAGUAUACACUGUA